rnacentral:rRNA from 1 species
UACGGAGGAUGCAAGCGUUAUCCGGAAUGAUUGGGCGUAAAGCGUCCGUAGGUGGUUUGGCAAGUCUGCCGUUAAAGGUCGGGGCUUAACUCCGAAGCGGCGGUGGAAACUGCUAGGCUGGAGUACGGUAGGGGUAGAGGGAAUUCCCGGUGUAGCGGUGAAAUGCGUAGAUAUCGGGAAGAACACCGGUGGCGAAGGCGCUCUACUGGACCGUAACUGACACUGAGGGACGAAAGCUAGGGGAGCGAAAGGG